rnacentral:rRNA from 1 species
UCGCCCUUUGAUGAACCCGCGUAAGAUUAGCUAGUUGGUGUGGUAAAGGCUCACCAAGGCGACGAUCUUUAGCUGGUCUGAGAGGAUGAUCGGCCACACUGGGACUGAGACACGGCCCAG